GAUGAACGCUAGCUACAGGCUUAACACAUGCAAGUCGAGGGGUAACGAGAGGAAAGCUUGCUUUCCUUGUCGACGACCGGCGCACGGGUGAGUAACGCGUAUCCAACCUGCCCCCAACUAGGGAAUAACCUUGCGAAAGUAAGACUAAUACCCUAUAAUUUCCUCAGAUGUCAUCUGACGAGGAAUAAAGAUUUAUCGGUUGUGGAUGGGGAUGCGUCUGAUUAGCUUGUUGGCGGGGUAACGGCCCACCAAGGCAACGAUCAGUAGGGGUUCUGAGAGGAAGGUCCACGACAUUGGAACUGAGACACGGACCAAACUCCUACUGGAGGCAGCAGUGAGGAGUAGUGGUCAAUGGGCGGAAGCCUGAACCAGCCAAGUAGCGUGCAGAAUGACGGCCCUAUGGGUUGUAAACUGCUUUUAUACAGGAAUAAAGUUAGCCACGUGUGGUUAUUUGUAGGUACUGUAUGAAUAAGGACCGGCUAAUUCCGUGCCAGCAGCCGCCGUAA
rnacentral:rRNA from 1 species